AAAAGCUAUGGCUUAACCAUAGUAAGCACUUGAAACUGUAUGACUUGAGUGCAGGAGAGGUAAGCGGAAUUCCUAGUGUAGCGGUGAAAUGCGUAGAUAUUAGGAGGAACACCGGUGGCGAAGGCGGCUUACUGGACUGUAACUGACGCUGAGUCACGAAAGCGUGGGUAGCAAACAGGAUUAGAUACCCUGGUAGUCCACGCUGUAAACGAUGAGUGCUAGGUGUUGGGUAGCGAUAUUCAGUGCCGGAGUAAACACAAUAAGCACUCCGCCUGGGGAGUACGGUCGCAAGACUGAAACUCAAAGGAAUUGACGGGGACCCGCACAAGCAGCGGAGCAUGUGGUUUAAUUCGAAGCAACGCGAAGAACCUUACCAAGGCUUGACAUCCCCUUGACAGAUGCAGAGAUGUAUCCUCCCCUUCGGGGGCAAGGGAGACAGGUGGUGCAUGGUUGUCGUCAGCUCGUGUCGUGAGAUGUUGGGUUAAGUCCCGCAACGAGCGCAACCCUUAUCCUUAGUUGCCAGCACAUAUGGUGGGCACUCUAAGGAGACUGCCGGUGAUAAACCGGAGGAAGGUGGGGAUGACGUCAAAUCAUCAUGCCCCUUAUGUCUUGGGCUACACACGUGCUACAAUGGUCGGUACAACGGGCAGCGAAGGAGCGAUCCGGAGCAAAUCCCAAUAAACCGAUCCCAGUUCGGAUUGCAGGCUGCAACUCGCCUGCAUGAAGUCGGAGUUGCUAGUAAUCGCGAAUCAGAACGUCGCGGUGAAUGCGUUCCCGGGUCUUGUACACACCGCCCGUCACACCAUGGAAGUUGGUAAUACCCGAAGUCGCUGAGCUAACUGUAAAGAGGCAGGCGCCGAAGGUAGGAUCAAUGACUGGGGUGAAGUCGUAACAAGGUAGCCGUA
rnacentral:rRNA from 1 species